rnacentral:rRNA from 1 species
UACGGAGGGGGCUAGCGUUGUUCGGAAUUACUGGGCGUAAAGCGCGCGUAGGCGGUUCGCUAAGUCGGGUGUGAAACCUCCAGGCUCAACCUGGAGACGCCACCUGAUACUGGUGUGACUCGAGUCCGGUAGGGGAGCGUGGAAUUCCUGGUGUAGCGGUGAAAUGCGCAGAUAUCAGGAGGAACACCAGCGGCGAAGGCGGCGCUCUGGGCCGGAACUGACGCUGAGGAGCGAAAGCGUGGGUAGCAAACAGG